AUUGAACGCUGGCGGCAUGCUUUACACAUGCAAGUCGAACGGCAGCACGGGCUUCGGCCUGGUGGCGAGUGGCGAACGGGUGAGUAAUAUAUCGGAACGUACCCAGGAGUGGGGGAUAACGUAGCGAAAGAUACGCUAAUACCGCAUACGAUCUAUGGAAGAAAGCAGGGGACCGCCAGGCCUUGUGCUCCCGGAGCGGCCGACAUCUGAUUAGCUAGUUGGUGAGGUAAAGGCUCACCAAGGCGACGAUCAGUAGCUGGUCUGAGAGGACGACCAGCCACACUGGAACUGAGACACGGUCCAGACUCCUACGGGAGGCAGCAGUGGGGAAUUUUGGACAAUGGGCGCAAGCCUGAUCCAGCAAUGCCGCGUGAGUGAAGAAGGCCUUCGGGUUGUAAAGCUCUUUUGUCAGGGAAGAAACGGUAGAGGCUAAUAUCCUUUGCUAAUGACGGUACCUGAAGAAUAAGCACCGGCUAACUACGUG
rnacentral:rRNA from 1 species